rnacentral:tRNA from 1 species
GGGGUUGUAGCUCAGUGGUAGAGUGCUUGCCUCACAAGCACUAGGUUGUGAGACACUAGGUUCAGUCCUCAGCACCA